rnacentral:sRNA from 1 species
GUCCCCCGGCACGGUGGAGGUCUUACUGAGCGUCAUGAGCACCGGGCUAAGGGGCGGUUGAGCAACUCAAGCGAACCGCCCUACCUUACUACAACAUAAGGACAGAAGGGAGAAGGUUGUGAAGGUGGCCUCGUUAUCCACACCUCCGGUCAGAUGAAUGGAGGACCGACCCGGGUUUUCAUGAGCGUUGGCGGGUCCUGGAGUGCCUGUCAAGGGCUUUCAUUAGCGCAUACCCCGGGGUGAUCAUCACCACCUGCACCUCACAUCUCGGCACAGCGGAACGUGUAACCCGCCUGCUGUCUCAUUCAACUACAUUUGUUCCUGUAAUCCACAGCCUAACAGAACGCAGCAGCGAGGGACAACCCGCCCAUACAGCCAGCGGGGAGGAUGGCACUACUGGCAAAGACCGUCCGGCGAAAACGCCGCAGGCGCGAAGCGUGGUAGGCCUGUGCCGGGGGAGCAUAGCAUAGGUAGGAAAGGGAGCCUGGACGGUGGAAGAGCCAGGGGGGGGCCGGGUCAUUUGACGGAAAUGGAAGGCUUUUCCCCUAUUAGAGAAGGCCCUCUGAAGUCAAGGGGAAGUGCAUUAAUUCUUGGAAAAAUAGGGAGCGAGCCUAUAAAAAAAUGAAUGAAAGUGAAUUCAAUGAAUAGAUAGAGUCAACGGUACGACAGACAGCGCUGCCUACACGCGAAUUAGCUUCCGAGGUCGAGCAGUCUCAAUUUAACUACAGGAUUUGCGAAUGAAUGCUGGGCUGGGCCACCUCGAAUGGCGUGAGCCGCAUGCGGGGAGACCCGCACGUACGGUUUUUAGGGGGAUCUGGUCGAAAGACCGGCCGGCGCCCACCCGACUAGAGGGACUGAGAAAUUAAUAGAGUACAAAACUUAUCUUCAAGCUUUACCUUAUUCUGAUCGUUUAGAGGGCGAUCGCGGAGUCACUGAAUGAAGUCCUCCGUUUCUUUCGGAGGUGCUGACCCGCAGCGAGGCAGAGAUGACUAAGUUACAUAUGGAAGAUGGCGACGACAACAGCAUGUCGUAGAAGGAGAUAACAGGUGGAGCCAACGAUCCGCUAAGACUCACGUAUCUACAACUCCAUCCCCGAGCGGCAGUCAAAAGGAGGCGUGAAUGCAAGAUGCCAGCGGAAUGAUCGGCCGGACAGAGGCUAGGGCUGCUUCCUUCCCACCGCGUCCUUCCUUGUGUGUCGGAGAUAUAAAGCGAGUGCACCGGAAAAGAACGGGAACUGGGUCGAUCUAUUCUAUGGCGAAGCAUCCGAAGCAUAACUGCACACUCACACGAUCUUUGCCGAGAGAUAGGAGCAUUCGGUGGAACCGGUGAACUACACUUGCUUCUGGAUAGAUGUGUGGGACAGAGGGCUCGUGGUACCUGCUGCCCACCCUUCCUCCUCUGCUUUGAGAACCGUGUGAACGGAGAGUGGGCAGAAGGGAAGGAGGUCCUCAUACGGAGUCGCACACUGACUUGAGCAGUGCGGAAGACUGGGGAAUGGGUUGAGUAAACUCCCCUGGGGCCGGAAAAAUAACAGACGAAGCUUUACUUAGAUAGGGCUUUGAUUGGUCUUUUUUUUUUUCUUAGUGAUUGGAAAGGAGGGCGCCUGGGUAUUUUACAAAAAGGGAAGGCAGAGGUAGUACUUCGAAUGGCGAAACGAAGGGCUAAAUAGCGCCAGUGAUUCUCUGAGCCGGUCUGGAUUUUCAACGCCUCGGGAAACUGGUCGAGAUAGAUGACAGCACCCUUUUCCUCUCUUCUAUUUCCGUGCCGGGAGGGCAAUCUUAUCUUAUGGCCUUUCCCCCCCGGCACGGAAAUAGAAGCCAGCCCCCCCUUCUGAUCCAUAAAUUUCUGCAAGCAGGGGGAUCCAGAGCUAAGCCUCCCGUCUAUUGCAUAACCUAAAAAAGCUAUAAGCAAAGUACCAAAGGUGCGCUCCUUUCCAAACGGAUCCGGUGACUCAGAAAGAAAUUGGUUUGCGCUUUGAAGUGAUGAGGUCUUUAUUGAAGAGGGAAGUAGGGCUCCUAUUGAAAGGCUUUCCCUCCCUCAAAAGGCGACCAGCUUUCAAUACUAGUUGUUACGUUACGCUGCCAUUUUUCCAAUAUAUAUCAUUGAAUAGCAUGGCCUGCCUGGGGCUAAGGUAACUCAAGUGGGAGAGCCGUGUUAUGGGUGACCUUAUUGCACGGUUCAGAGAGCACUUGUGUAUGUGAUGCAAGUGAACGUGUACGAAAAAGCUGUAUCUAGGGUGAGUUCUUCGUUCCGUCGUCGACCC